GCAAAUUCCCAUUGUUUGUGGUAUCCAGUAGCAUUCUAAUGCGUGGUAGAAGUCCUCUAUAAAGAGUGCUGAGAAGAGAGGAUUUCGUGAAGCCAUGAUGAGGGCAUUGGUAGGUAUAACCCUUGAAACGCUCCCAUGCUUCACAGAAGCUUUCACCAGUCUUCUGUGAAAAACCAGAAAUCUCAUUUCUGUGGCUUGCAGUUAUGGCGUUGGAGAAGAACUUUGAUAGAAAAGCCUUCUUGCAAUCAUCCCAGGUGGUGAUUGAGUCAUGGGGCAGAUUCUUCUCCCAGAUGUGUGAUUUGUCGCCCAAGGAGAAUGGAAACAAACGGAGCUUGAAUCCUUUUUCACUGACACUAUUGAUUUUUGUUAGGUUGAAGAGCCUAUCAAAUUCAUCAAGGUGGUCGAGUGGAUCCUCCAUGGGCAGACCAUGGAAUUUGUUCCCCUGAAUCAUCGAGAUGAGACCGCUCUUACUCUCGAAGUUGUUGUUCUGGAUAGCAGGAGGUGCAAUUCCUUUCCUCUGACGAUGGUCCCGUGGUGCAUCUCCAGCACCAAUGUUGGCAGGACCACUCUGUUGAUUCUGUUCGUCAGCCAUUUCGAGUGGUUGUUGGGGUAAAAGGUUGACUGUGUUUCUCCUUUCUCUGAGUUCGCGAGCUAUGCGGUCGAUGUUAUCGUUGAAAAGGAGGUUCUGGUUGCCUGUUGAUCGAGUUUGCAUAUAGCAGAGGUGAACCUUGAUCAAGAAGACAACAAAAAAACACACUGUUAGUAAGUGAAAUGAAAAUUGAAAAAGAACUUGAUCUAAGCAAGUCUGAAAUCUUAAAUGUAACAAACA
rnacentral:sRNA from 1 species